UUGUAGCUUCUGUUCAGAUGUCACGUCUAAAAAUAUCAACACAAUAUGAACACAUUUCACCCCACGAUUUCUUUGUGAAGGAAAAAGUCCUGCUUGCUACUGGUUUUGAAAUCAACUGAGGCUACAAACCGGAAGUGGGGUUUUUCAAUCCAGUUAUUCUAAAUUUGACUAGCAAUGACUUCAGAUCAUCACUUGGGGUUUACUCUUCAGUUCUCCAAGAUGAAUUAAACAGGACCAGGAUCUGCUGCAGGUGAAUCUGUAACACUGCCGCCUACGGUUUUGCCCAUGACUGUCUCGCUACCUCUCAGGCAUUUUAAAAGGAGUUAUGGCUGGUUCCUCUAAAGAACAGCAGGCCUCUUUGUUCAGCAGCAUCGUGCAGGCUGGGAGCCGACAGGAACACGAUGGAUCUUCACGUUCCUUUAUGGAGAGACCCUGAGGAGGAAGUGGAGCGGCUGUUCACCUGCAGGGAGACAAAUGUGAGACACACCGGUUAGAUUUGAUCUAUCAACACUGAGGCUGUGUGUGUGUAAAUAAUGUAUAUGCAGCCUAUUCAAUAAAUGAUCUGCCAGUGCAUAACCAAAAGCCCACAAUCAAAUUUCCACAAAAAAUGCUUCAUUUGUUCAUAGCAGGCACUCGAAAACUAGAACUACAUGUAUUUUCAAGGGGAGCUAUCAGUUUAGAUCAAUCACUUAUGUUGCAUGUAGUUAUUUUAAUAAUUAAUAAAGUGUGUUUGUUUCUUUAAAAUGUAAAGCUAAAGCAGGUUUAGGAUUGCACUCUUUAUUUCCAUCUUCACACCAUAUUUAAAGUACAUUUGAAUACAUGCUUAGCAAAUUCCAUUUAUAAUGACCAAGUUACAUUCAAUAGUGGUUUUGUAAUUUCUGCAAGACUGGCUGUUUUAUUCAGUGUAAAAAGAAUAAUAACAACCAACUCAAUUAAACAAUUCAUCUUAAUGGAUGGUGAGUUGUGUUUGGACACAGCCUUGUUGUUUUCCAUUGUUUUUGUUGUCCAUUGAGUGUAAAUGUCCUUUACAAAUUACUACAU